rnacentral:tRNA from 2 species
GCCCCCAUAGUUUAAUGGAUAAAACAAGAACCUCCUAAGUUCUAGAUCUACGUUCGAUUCGUAGUGGGGGCACCA